rnacentral:rRNA from 1 species
UGCGCAGGCGGGAAGACAAGUUGGAAGUGAAAUCUAUGGGCUCAACCCAUAAACUGCUUUCAAAACUGUUUUUCUUGAGUAGUGCAGAGGUAGGCGGAAUUCCCGGUGUAGCGGUGGAAUGCGUAGAUAUCGGGAGGAACACCAGUGGCGAAGGCGGCCUACUGGGCACCAACUGACGCUGAGGCUCGAAAGUGUGGGUAGCAAACA